GUAUUUCGUCAGCAAUUUACACUGUAUGCUGAUGUCACUUUUCAGAGUCACACUGUUUCGACCUUGCUAGCUGUAUCUUUCAUUUGAUACUGUCUGGGGUCUAUAGUCUCUGUUUCGACCUUGCUAGCUGUAUCUUUCAUUUGAUACUGUCUGGGGUCUAUAGUCUCUGUUUCGACCUUGCUAGCUGUAUCUUUCAUUUGAUACUGUCUGGGGUCUAUAGUCUCUGUUUCGACCUUGCUAGCUGUAUCUUUCAUUUGAUACUGUCUGGGGUCUAUAGUCUCUGUUUCGACCUUGCUAGCUGUAUCUUUCAUUUGAUACUGUCUGGGGUCUAUAGUCUCUGUUUCGACCUUGCUAGCUGUAUCUUUCAUUUGAUACUGUCUGGGGUCUGUAGUCUUUGUUUCGACCUUGCUAGCUGUAUCUUUCAUUUGAUACUGUCUGGGGUCUAUAGUCUCUGUUUCGACCUUGCUAGCUGUAUCUUUCAUUUGAUACUGUCUGGGGUCUAUAGUCUCUGUUUCGACCUUGCUAGCUGUAUCUUUCAUUUGAUACUGUCUGGGGUCUAUAGUCUCUGUUUCGACCUUGCUAGCUGUAUCUUUCAUUUGAUACUGUCUGGGGUCUAUAGUCUCUGUUUCGACCUUGCUAGCUGUAUCUUUCAUUUGAUACUGUCUGGGGUCUAUAGUCUCUGUUUCGACCUUGCUAGCUGUAUCUUUCAUUUGAUACUGUCUGGGGUCUAUAGUCUCUGUUUCGACCUUGCUAGCUGUAUCUUUCAUUUGAUACUGUCUGGGGUCUAUAGUCUCUGUUUCGACCUUGCUAGCUGUAUCUUUCAUUUGAUACUGUCUGGGGUCUAUAGUCUCUGUUUCGACCUUGCUAGCUGUAUCUUUCAUUUGAUACUGUCUAGGGUCUAUAGUCUCUGUUUCGACCUUGCUAGCUGUAUCUUUCAUUUGAUACUGUCUGGGGUCUAUAGUCUCUGUUUCGACCUUGCUAGCUGUAUCUUUCAUUUG
rnacentral:lncRNA from 1 species